rnacentral:tRNA from 1 species
GGAGCGGUGGCAGAGUGGUUGAAUGCACCGGUCUUGAAAACCGGCGGACCUACGGGUCCCGUGGGUUCGAAUCCCACCCGCUCCG